UACGUAGGGGGCAAGCGUUGUCCGGAUUUAUUGGGCGUAAAGAGCGUGUAGGCGGCCCGGUAAGUCCGCCGUGAAAGUCCAGGGCUCAACCCUGGAAUGCCGGUGGAAACUGCCGGGCUGGAGUCCGGAAGAGGCGAGUGGAAUUCCUGGUGUAGCGGUGAAAUGCGCAGAUAUCAGGAGGAACACCAAUGGCGAAGGCAGCUCGCUGGGACGGUACUGACGCUGAGACGCGAAAGCGUGGGGAGCAAACAGG
rnacentral:rRNA from 1 species